ACGUGCUUUUAUGUAGAAUCUACAGCUAUUCAUAAGGUAACUGGUAUACCGUCAUGCAUCAUCAAGUGGCUUUCGAGCAAGGCACCUAAUUUGUUCAGUAAUAUGGGCAUCAUCUUGUUGAUCCAUGCAUGCAACCUAAAUUAACAUAGAUUAAAAAUAGUAUAUUAUGAGAUAGAAUAUUAUGAGGUAAAUAAAUGGUGUUUAUAUGUUCAAAUUAUAAAUUAUAAGGGAGCAUAUAAAACUAACUUGUUUACGAAACCACUCAAGAAAUUUCUGACUAUGAAUCUUUUCAAUCUUAUA
rnacentral:lncRNA from 1 species